GUCAGCUUGGACUACAUGAGACCCUGUCUCAAAAAAACGGGAAAAAGAGAAAAAAGGAAUACUUGUCUCAGUCGACGAAAGGGAUAUUUUUCCCAUUUAUAAAAUGUAAAAAAAAAAAAUGAUUCACAUUAAAGGCUGGAACCAGGGAUUUUACAAUACACUGGCAGACUGCUAAACAAGAAACAGACCCUGUAGCCCCUGCUGACCUGAAACUUACAGAAAUUCACCUGCUUUUGUCUCCCAAAUACUGGGAUUAAAGGUUUGCACUCCCAUGCCCAUCUCAGGUCUUAUCUUUUUACUGUUUCUACAGUGUGCCUUUUCCAGGUUCAGGAGGUUGCCAUUGCAGACUAACUUUGAUCACUAAGUAACAUGUAUUCCAGAUUCUCCCCAUCUUCUCAUAUUUUGGUAGUUUUUAUGGAGUUUUUUUGUUUGCUUGCUUGUUUUUGUUUUUUAAUUUG
rnacentral:lncRNA from 1 species